rnacentral:rRNA from 1 species
AUUGAACGCUGGCGGCAUGCUUUACACAUGCGAGUCGAACGGCAGCGCGGGCUUCGGCCUGGCGGCGAGUGGCGAACGGGUGAGUAAUACAUCGGAACGUGCCCAGUAGUGGGGGAUAGCUCGGCGAAAGCCGGAUUAAUACCGCUUACGACCUGAGGGUGAAAGCGGGGGAUCUUCGGACCUCGCGCUAUUGGAGCGGCCGAUGGCAGAUUAGCUAGUUGGUGGGGUAAAGGCCUACCAAGGCGACGAUCUGUAGCUGGUCUGAGAGGACGACCAGCCACACUGGGACUGAGACACGGCCCAGACUCCUACGGGAGGCAGCAGUGGGGAAUUUUGGACAAUGGGCGAAAGCCUGAUCCAGCAAUGCCGCGUGUGUGAUGAAGGCCUUCGGGUUGUAAAGCACUUUUGGCGGGAACGAAAAGGACUGUGCCAAUACCACGGUUCGAUGACGGUACCCGCAGAAUAAGCACCGGCUAACUACGUG